UACGAGGGGGGCGAGCGUUGUUCGGAAUUAUUGGGCGUAAAGGGCGCGUAGGCGGUGCGGUAAGUCACCUGUGAAAUCUCCGGGCUCAACUCGGAGCCUGCAGGCGAAACUGCCGUGCUAGAGGGUGGGAGAGGUGCGUGGAAUUCCCGGUGUAGCGGUGAAAUGCGUAGAUAUCUGGAGGAACACCUGUGGCGAAGGCGGCGCCCUGGGCCACCUCUGACGCUGAGGCGCGAAAGCUAGGGGAGCAAACAGG
rnacentral:rRNA from 1 species